AAGCAAACAUGCAUAAAUACACAAAUACACGCGCACGCAAGCGCUCUCUUCAUUCUUCUUCGUGCGCCUGUUAGUGGCAUACGUGUGACUAAUACAGCGUGGAGAGCCGAGCCGAACCGAACCGAACCGAACCGAACUGAGCCGAGUCGAGCUGCGCUGUUGCCUUUUGCCGCUCAUUUACUUUGCGCUCGAUUUCGCUCACUUGUUGUUUGUGGCGCGGCCAGGGCAUAGAAGAACAGCAACAACAAUACAACAGACACGCUGCGAUUGCCUGUACGUGAGUGUGUGUGCCCGUGUUCGUGCUUGUGCUUGUGCUUGUGUUUGUAAAGAAAAGCAAAGUACCAGGCAUCGUCGUCAGUGGCGCUGUGUUGCCUGUUGGCAAGGUGGGGAAGGGGUAUCAUUUGCAUCUGUGUACCCAAAACAGGCUAAAGAGUCCACAAAAAAGCAGAUUUGACGCUGGCACUGGCCUAUCUAUAUUCGCACAUUCACAAGUUAUGGCCGUAAUCAGCAUAAAAUAAAGUCCAUAUAGACUAAUACUUGGAAGGCCUAUCUAAACUCAUUGUGCGUGUGUGUGUGUGUGUGUGUGUGUGGUCAAAAUUACCGUAGCACAUUGCCACUCAAAUGUUAGAUAGCCCGAUUAGAAGCAUAUACUUAGCAGUCGCUCAAUAAGUCCAUGUCAAGACCCAGUGCCAGUAGACGAGACAAGUUGUCAAGGCAAGUUGUGUUGUUUGCGAUCCGGAAUCGCAUCACAAUAUGAAGAAUCCGUUGUGGUUCCUGUUUUGGCUGAUUGUGCUGCUUUUCGUGUCGUUUAUUGUGGCGCUUCUUGGUGCAUUUUUCUACAUUUGGACCUAUUUGUUAGCCCAAUGCAGCAGCUGUUUUCGGAGUGUUGCCGAGUUCUUUUUGAAGUGCCUGCAGUUUCCAGGCUAUUGUGCGGCCGCCAUGUUGAAUUGCCAAUCGUUGUGUUAGGCAAAUUAAUCGACUCUCGCUGACAUCGAUAAAUCACAGCACAAACAAUCGAAGUGUGUUCGCACUAGAGAUGGUAUUUUUCUUACACGUUUGGGCACACUUAACGCCCACAACAAGUGCAAGGCAAUCAGCUUGCUGUCAGAAAGAUUAGCCCUUUAGAUAAGUAAAAAUUGGCUUUACCAUUUUAUAGGCUACACACACAAUACACUUACAAAAACUUUGUGUACAUGUGCGUGUGCGUAUGUGUGUGUGUGUGUGUAUGCAUAUGUGUCAUCUCAGUAUGCAUUUACGUAGUAUAGUUGAUAAAUCGUACUAUUUUAAUAUCAUGUUAAUUUGUUAUGUAUCAUAUAAUAAAAUGUUGUUCUAAACUCAAGACUGUGUCCCAAG